AGAGUUUGAUCAUGGCUCAGAUUGAACGCUGGCGGAAUGCUUUACACAUGCAAGUCGAACGGCAGCACGGACUUCGGUCUGGUGGCGAGUGGCGAACGGGUGAGUAAUAUAUCGGAACGUAUCCAAUAAUGGGGGAUAACUAAUCGAAAGGUUGGCUAAUACCGCAUACGCCCUACGGGGGAAAGCUAGGGACCUUCGGGCCUGGCGUUAAUGGAGCGGCCGAUAUCUGAUUAGCUAGUUGGUGAGGUAAAGGCUCACCAAGGCGACGAUCAGUAGCUGGUCUGAGAGGACGACCAGCCACACUGGAACUGAGACACGGUCCAGACUCCUACGGGAGGCAGCAGUGGGGAAUUUUGGACAAUGGGCGAAAGCCUGAUCCAGCCAUUCCGCGUGAGUGAAGAAGGCCUUCGGGUUGUAAAGCUCUUUCGCAAGGGAAGAAAGAUUACUCUCUAACAUAGAGUGAUUAUGACGGUACCUUGAUAAGAAGCACCGGCUAACUACGUGCCAGCAGCCGCGGUAAUACGUAGGGUGCGAGCGUUAAUCGGAAUUACUGGGCGUAAAGCGUGCGCAGGCGGUUUUGUAAGUCAGAUGUGAAAUCCCCGAGCUCAACUUGGGAACUGCGUUUGAAACUACAAGACUAGAAUAUGUCAGAGGGGGGUAGAAUUCCACGUGUAGCAGUGAAAUGCGUAGAGAUGUGGAGGAAUACCAAUGGCGAAGGCAGCCCCCUGGGAUAAUAUUGACGCUCAUGCACGAAAGCGUGGGGAGCAAACAGGAUUAGAUACCCCGGUAGUCC
rnacentral:rRNA from 1 species